rnacentral:rRNA from 1 species
AGCGAACGCUGGCGGCAGGCCUAACACAUGCAAGUCGAACGAAGUCUUCGGGCUUAGUGGCGGACGGGUGAGUAACACGUGGGAACGUGCCCUUUGGUACGGAAUAACUCAGGGAAACUUGAGCUAAUACCGUAUGUGCCCUUCGGGGGAAAGAUUUAUCGCCAUUGGAGCGGCCCGCGUCUGAUUAGCUAGUUGGUGAGGUAAAGGCUCACCAAGGCGACGAUCAGUAGCUGGUCUGAGAGGAUGAUCAGCCACAUUGGGACUGAGACACGGCCCAAACUCCUACGGGAGGCAGCAGUGGGGAAUCUUGCGCAAUGGGCGAAGGCCUGACGCAGCCAUGCCGCGUGAAUGAUGAAGGUCUUAGGAUUGUAAAAUUCUUUCACCGGGGACGAUAAUGACGGUACCCGGACAAGAAGCCCCGGCUAACUUCGUGCCAGCCGCCGCAGUAACAC